AAACGCUGUGACACAAAGUCAGGUUAGUUUUGCCUAAUUAAAAAAGAAAUGAAGUUUGUACAAAGGAUACUUUUCACGAUACUGUUAGUCGGAUUUCCAAAUUUUCCAUUGUGCUCAUCUCGUUUUUAUUACAUCAUCAAUGAGUUGAAGACUUGGCCUGAUGCUCAAAACUACUGCAGGACAUACUUUUAUGAUCUAGCAACAUUUGACAACCAAAUAGAGCAAGACCAAGUUGUUCAAACAAUUGUGAGCAAAGGUUACACAGGUAGUGUUUGGACAGGCAUAUAUGAUGAUCGCUACAGCUGGAGAUGGUCCAGUGUUGAGAAAAACUUAACGUACACUAACUGGGCGAAUCAACAACCAGACAACAAUCAAGGAAAAGAGCCUUGUACUUAUAUGCAUUUUACAGGGGCUUGGUAUGAUGUGCCAUGUACAAUGAAUCUAUAUUUCUUUUGUUAUGAUGGUAAUUGAAUCUAUACUUUUCUUUCUUUACUCAUAUAUACACACUGAGAAAAAGUAUUAACAAAUGAAAUGCUAAAAUGAAUUAAAUGCC